rnacentral:rRNA from 1 species
UACAGAGGUCUCAAGCGUUGUUCGGAUUCAUUGGGCGUAAAGGGUGCGUAGGCGGUCGGGUAAGUCUGAUGUGAAAUCUCCAAGCCUAACUUGGAAACUGCAUUGGAUACUAUCCGGCUCGAGGAAUGGAGGGGAGACUGGAAUACUUGGUGUAGCAGUGAAAUGCGUAGAUAUCAAGUGGAACACCAGUGGCGAAGGCGAGUCUCUGGACAUUUCCUGACGCUGAGGCACGAAAGCCAGGGGAGCAAACGGG